UACGUAGGGGGCAAGCGUUAUCCGGAUUUACUGGGUGUAAAGGGGGCGUAGACGGCAAUACAAGUCGGAAGUGAAAUACCCGGGCUCAACCUGGGAACUGCUUUGGAAACUGUAUGGCUGGAGUGCUGGAGAGGUAAGCGGAAUUCCUAGUGUAGCGGUGAAAUGCGUAGAUAUUAGGAGGAACACCAGUGGCGAAGGCGGCUUACUGGACAGUAACUGACGUUGAGGCUCGAAAGCGUGGGGAGCAAACAGG
rnacentral:rRNA from 1 species